UAGCCUACUGAUGUACCCCUGAUGGCUGACUAGGCUACUGAUGUACCCCUGUUAGCUGACUAGGCUACUGAUGUACCCCUGUUAGCUGACUAGGCUACUGAUGUACCCCUGUUAGCUGACUAGACUACUGAUGUACCCCUGUUAGCUGACUAGGCUACUGAUGUACCCCUGUUAGCUGACUAGCCUACUGAUGUACCCCUGUUGGCUGACUAGCCUACUGAUGUACCCCUGUUAGCUGACUAGGCUUCUGAUGUACCCCCCUGUUAGCUGACUAGCCUACUGAUGUACCCCUGUUAGCUGACUAGCCUACUGAUGUACCCCUGUUAGCUGACUAGGCUACUGAUGUACCCCUGUUAGCUGACUAGCCUACUGAUGUACCCCUGUUAGCUGACUAGCCUACUGAUGUACCCCUGUUAGCUGACUAGGCUUCUGAUGUACCCCUGUUAGCUGACUAGCCUACUGAUGUACCCCUGUUAGCUGACUAGCCUACUGAUGUACCCCUGUUAGCUGACUAGGCUUCUGAUGUACCCCUGUUAGCUGACUAGCCUACUGAUGUACCCCUGUUAGCUGACUAGCCUACUGAUGUACCCCUGUUAGCUGACUAGGCUUCUGAUGUACCCCUGUUAGCUGACUAGGCUACUGUACUGUUUGCCAACACUGAAUAUCUAUGUACUGUCGCUUUCUUAUGUCAACACCCAUUUUCACAUGCAUUUUUGUCCUUCUCAGAAUGUUCUGUAUCUGACCCUGUACAGCAGUUUAUAUUUUUCAUACACGUCAAAAAUGUGACUUCACUUUGCACGUACGUACUUGGUAAGUACUGGUAAAGGACAAAACCUAUGAAGGUACUUCUUUACAUUUUUUAAAAUAAAUAUCUGUGAACAAA
ensembl:lncRNA